CAAGCUCUGAGUACCCCACAGCUAUGGACAAAUCCCAGUACUUUGUCCCAGCCGUGGUCACUGUGUAGCUUUGGGGCAGGCAGGGUACAGCGCUGUUUGGGCCUGUGAGGCUGACAUGCUGGGCCUGCUGCCCUUCCUGAGGGAUGAUGCCAGUCUCUGCUGGCUGUUAAACCAGUGCCAUUUUCCCUGGGCCAAGGAACUGCCCAUGGACAAGAAAAUGCUUCCUCUUUUGCAGCAUAGCCCACGUACAUCUAGACAGUAGGUGACCACCAGAUACUGGCAUGUAGGCCCCAUUUGAAGGGCUGCUGACAGUCCUGGGGAGUCUCCUGUCAGCUUCGCUGGGAAGCAGAUCAAGCCCCUGCACGUUUCUUUCUUCCUUUCUUAACAGUUUUGCUGUUUGGACAUCAGCUGAAUUAUUCGCACCUUUCACAUUCAGUUAAAUACCACAAAAUGCUAGUGCAGGACUUUUCUCAUAACCGGUUAGAAACCGUGAUAGAAAACACAACCCUGCCGCAUCAGAGAUGUUCUCCAUAUACCACACUGGAUUUGCAUCUAGGUUUCCUUGUUGCUAGCCAGUGCCAUCUGUUAUCUGUUUUGUUCUGCUUGUGAAAAAUAGUAAUUUCUGAAAAUUUAGAGACAGGAAUGAACAAUGGCUUUUUCCUUUGUAUUUUAUGUCCCAAAGAAACCAACUGUAUCUACAUAUGCACACAAAAAUAUACCCCUUCACUUGGCAGUACGCUAGCAUAUGCUUCUUCUAUAUGGAAAAUUUAAAGAGACAAGGCCCGUCAAGGGGAAAUAUUUGAACGUAAUGAAAUAAAUCUGCGCCCCACAAUGCUUGGAUACUCAGUUCUGCUUUUGUCUCCCUUGGAGAGUGCUGACGCUCAGACUUGGUGACAGAUUAAGCAGUGACAGCUGAGAUAGUUCCUGCCCUCAGCUGUGUGCUCUGCCCCUUGCUUGGAAAUUACUGCCCUCCCACUGCCAACACAACUGAACGCUUUGUGGAUUUCAGACUGCCAGACUUCACGUGAACCUUGUCUCACGACAUUUUGCCAGCCUGUAAACUCCUGUGGUUAGCAGGCGAAGCACUGAGCUGUGCCGACCGCACAGGUGGAAAAGGCUGAGAAAGCAAGGGGGGCCCAGGCCGGGCAGCAGCAGCAGCCCACGCAGAGCUCCCAUCUAUUUAUGGAAAUACAGAAGUGUUGAGCUUGGGGGACCCAUUGUCACCGACUACCCCCUGAGCAAAGAAAUGGGAAAAUCUCAAGUGACAAAGAGAGAACACAUCUUCAGCCUUUUCUCGGGGCUUUUGGUUUUUUGGUUGAUUAAUUUAUAUUUUUUCUUUUGAAACUGUGCUUCAGGGACACUAUGAAAAUAUGCUCAGCACUGACUAAACUCUGUUCCUUUGAGGUCUAUUGCAUAUUUUUAUUUUUCUAAGAAAAGAAAUUGUAGUUAGCAUGGUAAUUUUGAACUCCUCUUAGUUAUAGAUGCUAAAUUUCAGUCCCAUGUUUGAGGAUGCUGUCUGUUUCACAGUUCUCAACUACAGCAGGCUAUGAACCACCAUCAGGUAAUUUAACAGAGUCUGCCAUUUUAGCCCUUCACCUAGCCUGUUCCUUAUAUUUCUGCUGUUUUUCUCUUCCAAGAUGUGUGAUCUGGAUGCACAGGGUCUGCCCGUCUCCUUCUUUUCAGUGACAAGCCAAUUUCUGCAAAGGACCAAUUUAUCAGCUAUUAAUAUGCAGACAUUCUUCCCUCCUCAGUCCUCCUCCCAAGCAGCAGAGCAUGUAUACAUUCAAGAGAGAAAAAUGGGGCAUGUCAUAGAAAUGCAUUCUGGUCUGGAUAAUUGUAAAUAUUGAAUCCUGAACUAUUAAAAUGGUUCUUGCUUAAGAUUAAAGGAAAAAUCUUGAUAGUCAAUCUGCAAAUAAUUGUAUGCUGCUUAACUGGCACUUCAGUAGUUUUCUUUUGUGAUAUAUCUGAAGGAAGAGAUGGAUGCACUGUCAGAAUUAAAAGUUCUCUCGGUACUUGUCCAUAUGUUUUUGCUUUGGUCCCCAGACUGUUAUACUGCUGAACAGAGGGUAGAGACUGAUGUAACAGAACUUAGUAUACAACACAACCUCUAGGGAAGGUGGGAAAAAAAGUGAAUCUCUCCAAGGUUCCGUAGUACCAAAGAUCUGUCUUGGACUUAGAUUCAGCCAAGUUUUGCAACACCAUGUCCUGGCUGUAAUGCCUAAUGAACCAGAGGCUCAUUAACACGAGCUACAGGGGAUGUACAUCCAUCAGUAUUUCCACAGCAAAGACGGUGAGAAACUGGAGCUCAUAUAUCUUUAUACACCAGGCUUCAGCAGGGAAGCACAUAUUCCACUCAAGAUCAGUUGGGAAGGGUUGGAUGCUGUAGGUUUGCAAAAAGGCUCAUCAUGGCCUUCAAGAUCAAAAGGGUCUCAGGCCUACCAGUAUUUCAGGAUGCCGCAAGCGUAGUCAAGAUAAGCAUUAUAAACUGUUACAGUUUUCUUCCAGUAUCUCUAGUGGCCAUGGAUCGUAUCCAACUAACAUUCCCAAAACACAGUUUACACCACAUGUGUUUAUUAUCAUAGCAGCUGUUGAAGCCCCUGGGUGGUUGGGCCAUGGAAAACCUCCUAACCCUGUGAGCACAGCAAUUUGGCAAGGGCCAGCUCAGAUACCACCAAACAUGGGAGAGCUGUGGGGCAAGGAACAAGACCAACAUCCAGCUUCUGAAAAAGCCUUUCCACCAUAAAACUGACAGUACUCUGGCAGGCUCUUCUGCUGUGUAAAUCCUUACCAGCCCAAAAAGGAAAUGAGCAACAUUCAAGGCACUGAAUCCAAAAAAGCUCAGUUCUGCAGAACCAAGACUGAAAAUGAAUAAAUGCUAGAAACUCUAUGAAAUCCACCAAGGACUUUGCUAUUGAUUUUGCAGUGCAGAUGGUCAGACAUUAGGGCAAUGUGGUAAUGUGAAACCUGUUGGUACAUUCAUGGUGGAUGAUUCAGACAGAGCAUUUUGGAUUAACUUCAUGGAAUACCACUUCUGACAGCUGAAAACCAGCACUCAAAAGCAUCAGAUCAGGAGGAUGUGGCCCUGACUCUGUCUCCACAGAGACUUGAAAAUCCACUGGCAAAGCUUUAACUUCUUUAAAAAACAAUAGCAGAUAAUGCUUUAAAAUAGUCUUUGUUUAUCUUUUAUUCUUUUGUUUCUAAUGAGCUCUUUAUGAAUUUGAAAAUAACUUCCUCUCCACUUUUGUUCUGAUUUCCAUGGUGGGAAAAAACAGAAAGAUCUGAGCUACAUCAAGUCAAAAGAAAUGCAUGCAACAUUAUCAUGGCUCAGGAAGCAGCGUUUGAUCACUGAGCAUUGCCACAGAGCCAGCAGGAGCUGGGCACACCAGCCUUAUGGGAGCUCUGCCAUUGACUGCAUGGGCCCAGAAACUCAAGUUUGUGUUUUGUAGAAUUGGAUGAGCUAUAAAUCAAAUAAUAGAACAACAAGUUCCUUGGCCUCCAAAUAAUACUUGGAUGCCCUGCUGUGUGAACACAGGUUCUUAGCUUUCCGGGAAAAGUACGGCCAAGUACUUUGCCCACACAGUGACCACAAAGGCAGAACAAUAAUAUCUACAGAGGAGGAUAGUCAUAUAUAUCAUAUGUUUUCCAAUGAGAUAAAUCUCUGUUAAGGAUUAGACAGCAGUUAAAAAAGGAUUUAUCACCUAGGAAUACAUGUGAUAAGAUCUCUCUGAUUUUGCAAACAGCUUUCUGUCCAAACGACUCACUGGCCAGAACAUUUUCGUGUAUUCGGAAGGAAGUGUUUUCCUCGCCAACAGCUGUUGCUCCAGGAGGUGAAAAGAAGCACCUGUUAUCUUCUGAAGGCAUCAUAAAAAAAAAAAAAAAAAAAAAAAAGAAAAAAAAAAAAAAGAAAAACACUGGGCCUUGAGGGUCAGGAGAACUCCAGAAGGCAGAAAAGAUCUGGUUUGGAGAACAACCCCAAGGAAGAAAACAGAUCUACCCCAGCUCCUCACAAAUGACUCAUGCAGGGUGUGGCCUUGCUGGAACCUCUUCGUUUACUCUUCCAUAGACAGAAGCUCAUGUUGUGAUUUAUCUGCCUUUUAGCUGAGAAGAGAAGCGGCAUAGAUGCUAUCUGAUACCCAGUUCCAUCCUAGUGCAGUUAAAGGAAACAACUCUGCUAAGGAUAUUAGAGGGGAAUUCCUCUACCGAUGACAACAUGAGAAAAACAUUAUCUUAAUAUUAAUCUUAUCUUCAAAAGCUUAUGCUGCUAUUUUUUUGAAAACUGAGACUUGGACCAUUUAUCUAGUGCAACUAAAUGGAUUCGAUUAGAAACUGUAGACAUGUCAAAAUACUCUAGUCCUCCAGGAAAUGUCACCCUUACACGUAAAGCUGCCAUGUUCCACAUGAAGCCAUUUCCAGAGGAAUGCUAAACACCAUUACAGUACAAUUCCAUUCAGCUCAACAUUUUCAGUGAGGCGAUUUCCACUGCAUACAGUUCAGUAUGAUCCCUCAAAAACGACCACCUCAAAGUCUGACAUGAAAAAUUAAAAUGUCACAUGUUUUCCAUCAAGGUGCAAUAGAGACAAAAAAAGCCUCUUUGUGGCAGCAGGUUUCUGUAAAAUCUAUCUUUAUUUGAAAAAGAAAAAAAAAAAAAGCAUACUGUCUUUUUCUGGGCACGUUCUUAUUCCCACCUGAACUCCCUGUUGGGCUCAGGCUACAUUUUAUAGGAACAGCAACAUACCAGUGUUGUACCCUGGCAGCCAAAAGAGCUGGGCCAACCUUUGGAAAGAGUUUCAGCUGUCAGAUACGGUUGGACUAGAUCUUCUUGUAGGUCCUUUCCAACCUUGUGAAUCUAUGAUUCUAUGAUACCUGCAGUGAAGCUUGGGUUCGCAGGAGAAAUUGUGAGUGGUGUGGAGCCAGACUGGCUGCUGAUGAAAACUAUAUUUUCUUCAUCUGAUUGUUUUCUCUUUGCAUUUCAAAAUUCGUUUCUUACUCACAUUGCUCUUCAGUAGAGGAUGCCUAGACUUCUUUUCAUUUUUUACAUCUUAGUUCUGACAGAGAAGGAAGGACCGAGUAAUGCUGAUCACAGACAUGGAUUUUGACUUCAUUUUGCACAAUUAAAUUAAUUUCCUUUUAAAAUUCAUCAUCACCCAUGGUUGUUUGUUGGGUUUUUUUUUUUUUUUUUUUUCCAUAGGGAUGCCAGACAUUUCAAACAUUUGACCUAAAUGUUUCAAGAUUCAUCAUGCAAAAUAGCAAUUCGCUACAUGGUCUCCCUCCUCUUCUGUAGAGGAGUAGCAGCAGUAGCCAUAGGCCUCACCUGUUCCAACAAAUAGCUGCUGUAGGUGUGGAAGCUUUCCUUGUAGCUGCAGGCGUACAAAGAAGUUUUGGGUGGUACCCCUAAGCUCCUGGGUACCAUUGCACUAGAUAAGGUGCACAGGGAAUAGAUCUGAAGCGCUACCCAGUGCCCCACUGUGCAACAUCUAAAAUGUCACAGUUUGCAAAAAUGACAACAUGCCUUCUCUCGGGUAUACAAGCGCCCUUUCUGCUAAUCCACAGCACCAGUGCUGUAACCGUGGCAGCAGACAACCAGCUCAGUACCAGCAGCAGCCACAAACAUGCAAAGCACACAAGGGCCGCUUGGCUCUGCUGCUGAGGUGGGUGUUAGCCCAGGCUGAGCAAUCUGCUCCCACAGAGGCAGCUGAGGUGGGCAUGUAAAGCUCCUCAGGUACUACAGGUACAGGGCACGGUGCCCGGAGCGGGUAGGCUUUCAGCUGCAGACCUCAGUCCCUCAGUAGUCAUACAGCAAGGCUGAGGAAGCAGGGGAAAUAAAAAUCGGCAUGCUACAAACAUGUAUUCACAUGCACGCGCAGCCAGCCUCCACGCUGCCGCUGCUGUGGUAUCUGGUCGUCAUUUCCAAUGUGUAGCAACAGUGUAAAAUGUACAGGCAAAGUAGUUUGCAACAUUAACAUGAAACCCAAACCAGCGGUCCCCCCAUCCUCUGGAGAAAUGCGUACCUCCACUUGUGUGAAAAGGUUCACUGGGCUCACUCAGAUCUGUGAGCAGGUCAGAACACUGAGAUUCCUUGUAAUAAAUACACCUAAAGCACUCUGAAUCAAAGAUGCUACCAAGAUCUCCAGCUACUUUCUGGAAUCCACAGGAAAACAAAACAAAACAAAACAAAUCAAAGCAGUUCUUUACUGCUGGGAGCAGAGAAACUCACAGAACAGUUUCUCCUAAGCCCACAGAGUUUCCAGUCGGAGUCCCGGCGAUAGUCCUGCGCCACAGCAGGUCCGCAGGGAGCCGCACCAGCUCUGGGGACGGAUGGCACACCGCCCGACGCCAGCCUACCUCACAGACGGGGUCGCCACCACCGCAGCCCGGAGGUGAGGUCCUCCCGCAGGCACAAGGCUCGGGGCGAGCGCUCGGACGGGCUCUCACAGGUGCCGAGGCUCGGGCACAGCCAGCACGCGUGUCCCCUCCUCACGGAGCUCGGCAUGUAUGUCCUCAACAGGAUCCCAGGGGUCUCCGGCCCGCCGAAGCCCUCAGCUGUCACCGGGCGCUGCCUUCGCAGGCUCGGAAGGCUUCCCAAGAACAACUCCUUGGCUGCUUGCUCUCUGCUGGAGAAGUUUUGCGAACUGCAGGGAACGGGACAGGGCUUCGGUCUGAGAAAACUCGCCUACCCCACCUAGAGGUGCGGGGCGACCAGGCGCCCAGCAUCCCCUCCCGUCCGCCUGCUCCUCUCCGGCUGGAUUGGGGUUUUACUCGGGAGUAGCAAAAGAAGUGGCUUCUGCCAGCUCUGUCUUGUAAAGGGGAGGCAGAGCCCGGGGCGUGGAGCAAGGAAACGUUUCUGGAAGGUGUCUGGGAUAGAAGGAACGGGGAGAAAAUCUACUGAUCGAACUGGUUUCCAUCUGCAAAUGCCGACUCCUGUAAGUCCUCUGUUAGCAGAGAGAAAUAUCCCUCACUUCACAGUGCACGUAUUUGUGAAACAACUGUUUUCAAGGAUGAAGCACAGGAAGAGUAAGAUUUCGGCAACAAUCUCUGAUGAACACCUGGAGAGCUCACUGAGGACUGCAGCCACUGCCAUUGAACCUGACUGAUGCAUCAGAGUCACAAAAACAGGGUCAUGUAUCCCACCAGCGUUCUGCUUUUGUUGCUCUCAUUAUUUUAAUGUUUUAAUAAAAAUAUUAAAAAUUAAA